AGGGUUUGAUUAUGGCUCAGAACGUACGCUGGCGGCACGCCUAACACAUGCAAGUCGAACGAAGUAGCAAUACUUAGUGGCAGACGGGUGAGUAACAUGUAGGUAUCUACCCUUUGGCCUGGAAUAACACGAGGAAACUUGUGCUAAUACCGGAUAAGUCUUUACGGAGAAAGCUUUAUGCACCAUUGGAUGAGCCUGCACUUGAUUAGCUUGUUGGUGGGGUAAUGGCCUACCAAGACUGUGAUCAAUAGCUGAUUUGAGAGGAUGAUCAGCCACAUUGGGACUGAGACACGGCCCAAACUCCUACGGGAGGCAGCAGUGGGGAAUCUUGCACAAUGGAGGAAACUCUGAUGCAGCGAUGCCGCGUGAGUGAAGAAGGCCCUUGGGUUGUAAAGCUCUUUCGCCGGGGAAGAAAAUGACUGUACCCGAAUAAGAAGGUCCGGCUAACUUCGUGCCAGCAGCCGCGGUAAUAC
rnacentral:rRNA from 1 species